rnacentral:lncRNA from 1 species
UGUAUUUUUUCCCCACACUCCUUUGCUCUCUUAUCACUGCUCACUGUAUCGUCUGUUCCCCACCUCCAUGAGGUGCCUGAAUGCAACAAUGAAAAUUUUAUAUGGACUUAUGAAAUAUUGUUAUAUAGAGGGGGAAAAUUUAAUUUCUAGGUAUUGUUGGUGAGAAGAGUUCUUUUCAACAAAUUUACCAUACACGUCUAUCUGUAAUUAGAUGAUAGGGUUCUUUACACGGUUACUCUGUUGCUUAUGUCUAUGUAUUUGGAACAACUGUGUUCGGUUUAGGGUUUGUUUG